CGCUCAUUUAUUUAAUGGCUCUAUCUCGGUUUUGUUCUCGAUGCUGUAGGUAUAAUAGUCUGGUGACUGGCAAGCGGGCAAGAGGACUCAUUGCUGUGCUGUGGCUCCUGUCCUUUGGAAUUGGACUGACCCCGCUUAUGGGCUGGAAUAAAGCCAUAAGUGGCUGUCCCAACGCCACCAAAGAGACAGGGGCUGACACCGGGCCAGAGCACCAUGGCUGCUUCAUCUCGUGCCUCUUUGAGAAUGUGGUGACGAUGAGCUACAUGGUGUACUUCAACUUCUUCGGCUGCGUGCUGCUUCCACUUGUUAUCAUGCUGGGAAUCUACAUUAAGAUAUUCAUGGUCGCCUGCAAACAGUUGCACCAGAUCGAACUGAUGGGCAACUCCAGGACCACACUGCAGAAGGAGAUCCACGCAGCCAAGUCUCUGGCCAUCAUUGUAGGACUUUUUGCCUUCUGUUGGCUGCCCUUGCAUAUCUUGAACUGCAUCACUCACUUCCACGAGGAGUUCUCCAAAUCCAAGCCUGAGUGGGUGAUGUAUAUGGCCAUCAUCCUCUCCCAUGCCAACUCUGUCAUCAAUCCCAUCAUCUAUGCCUACAGGAUCAGGGACUUCCGCUACACCUUCCGCAAGAUCAUUUCCAAGAUCCUCUGUAAGACGGACGACUUCCCCAAGUGCGCCGCUGACAACAACCAGCACCUGACUGCCACCAACAUUAACUCCCCAGUAGCCUCUGUGACCAUAUGACCUUGCACGUCCUGCUCCGAGGAAUUUCCAGUCUGUCCCUGACACUACCUGUCCCUGUGCCUAUGUGAACAGUUGCAGCUAACUCCUAGGGGAGUGCGCAGAGAUGACCACUAUGCAGUUAUACAGCUGUAUUUUUUUUUUUAUUAUUAUUUUUGUAAUUAACGUAGUGCCUCCUAGAGGAAUAACCUGACCGGGGAGACUGCGUGCAGCUCACCCUCAGCUGUAAACCCGGGUUACCUGAGUGCUGGUGAUCGUAUUGUGUUUCCUUUCCAGGUCAGACAUUGACUGUGGAAGACCCACCUGCUGGGGGUGUUUCCCCAAUUGUGCUGCUCAUGUCCAGUCCUAGGAUCUUUGUUUUAAUUAUUAUUA